UGUGGAGACAGCUGAAACUGUCUCCACUGAUGAAGCAGCGAUGCUUGACCGGGAUAAUGGACCUGCUGAGAUCUGCAUAAAGGAGGAGGAGGAGGAGUCAGAUCUACACUCUGAGGUCAAACUGGUUUAUUUCUGCAAAGACCAAGAUACCGUCAGAACAUCUGAAGAGCAUUUGAUCAAAGAUGGAUCAUGGCAUGAAUCAACACCCAGUAAUAUUCUGACUGGAAAUGUAUUCAGCCUUCCACAGUCACCACUACCAGCUGCAGAAAGUGGUCCUUUUGGAAGUAAAACCGAGCCAACUUCACAGAUAUAACCAGACGGUCCAAUGCAGAAUCACUUGAGACCAAAUACCAUAGACUUGACAGAAGUAACCAGGGGAAAAAAGGGAUUUAAUGAGGAUAAAUACAUGUUUAUAGCCAAGAAGGAAAAGAAAGUUGUCAGACAAGUAGAACCUCAUUGAGAUGAGAUGGAUCUGCCAGGGAAAAGAAAAGCACUUCCUUUACUUCCUGGCUGAGAUCUCAGGGGGGGGGGAUACAAGAUGGAAAGAAAAGUCUGAUCUGCUCGCUGUGAAACGCCAGUUUCUCAUUUGCCUGAAAAAGAUUGAUAUUGUUAUAUGUGAUGAAGUGCAACACGAGGUGGAUUCUUACCGAACUUUCAAAAUGCUUUGUAGUCGAGACUGGUUCUGAGAAGAAAUGCUAACAAAUCCUUGCUGGAUACAGAUCAGGGGCCUAUUGAAAAUCUGCAAAAGUCAAAUUCCCUCAGUUCAAGAAGACGACUCGUACCUGGGAAUGGCUCUGUACUAAUUACAAAACAACUGUUUAAAAUCACUGCAGAAAGCAGAGACAACAAGAGUUUUGCCAAAAGGAAGAAGGGCUGUUGAUCACUUGUGUGGUAGAGAGAAACACCCAGAAUCAGUCUGGACAGGAUGGAGUUUUAGUCUGGACAGGAUGGAGUUUUAGUCUGGACAGGAUGGAGUUUUAGUCUGGACAGGUUGGAGUUUUAAUCUGGACAGGAUGGAGCUUCAGUCUGGACAGGAUGGAGCUUCAGUCUGGACAGGAUGGAGUUUCAGUCUGGACACGAUGGAGUUUCAGUCUGGACACGAUGGAGCUUCAGUCUGGACAGGAUGUAGCCUAACUGUGGAAAAACAGAAACUGACUGAUACACACAUUACAAUGACAAAUCAAUGACCAGAUUGGCAACCAGCUCCAGCUAUUCCGCAUCACUCUGACUAUUUGUGCUGGUUGAACUUCUGUCUCAGCUGAAGGGAGGACAUUGUGUUUUAAAGUAUUUUCUUUCUGUCCUGAAGUAGGUCUACCUGCUUAAUACACACAGACUUUCAUAUAGGUAAAGCAAAGGCAUGCUAUAACUUAACUCUACCUUCAUAUAUUGGGCUGCCUUUAUCACAAUAGUUUCACAGUUUAAAAACGUGUGUUUUCAAAUGACUGUAUGCUACAUUGAUCUUUGGAUCACACUUGGAAUGCGAAAGGUUCCGAAUGUUAGUUUUAGGUCUCCCUGAAGUCCGUAGACUUCCACUCUAUUAGUCACCCUAGAACACAGUCAACGAGCCUAACGGAGAUGUGCAUUCAUUAGGGAUAUACUGUAGCUAAAUGUUUAAUGGAGGGCUGCGCUAGCGUUUCUUGGACCAAUUCAGAAAUUGGUACACAAGGAGGAGUAGCACUAGUAUUUUUAGGAUUAAGUGAAAAUAGGGAGACAAUGUAUUUGUAUUAAGGGUUUAGUCUUUGAAUCGUGGAUUUGUGCAGAUUCCCUUGGCCUUCCUUCCUGUUUAACCUUUGAUGUCUGGUCUUGCUGUAGAGACUGAAUACAGCAAGAUUAUUGCCAGACUUUUUUUGUUUUCUUAACUAUUUUACGACGUAAUCAUUGACGAAACGAACUCCACUACAAAUACAAGCCUCUAUAGAAGCACCUCUGAUCCUUUUUUUGUUAGAAAUAAAAAGACAAAGAUGUUUUAUUUUCUAAGAGUAUGUAGUAGUAGCAUUAGUGAAAUAACCUACUAUGAUGGAUCAUAUUUUUAUUAUUUUUAUCAGUGGGCUAUUUUUAUUUAUUUAUUUUUCAUUUUUUUGUGGAAAGAUUUAGAGACUGUAUCCAGACCUGCCUUGCUGUUACCAAUAUAUUCCUUUUUUUGUGGAAAGAUUUAGAGACUGUAUCCAGACCUGCCUUACUGUUACCAAUAUGUUCCUUUUUUGAACAGGGAGUUAUUCUACCGUAAACUAAGAUUAUUUUUACGUAUUUUUUAUUUUUUUAAGGAUACUUCCACUGACAUUCUUAGAGCUGUCAUUUUAUUGUGAGGAACUGCAGUUCGAUCGGAAUAGUUUUUCUGUUUUCGUCCUCUGUUUUGUGAGUGACCCUCUCACUCAGUCAACUCGUCUCAGGGCACAAGUCUCCCCUUCUCCAGACACUGCGUAUGAAUCAGACUCCGUAGCUCGUUGUGACACGUGAGCCUCUGGAUGAAAAGCAGAGUAUCUCUAAAGCAGCGUGGUCCUAUCAGCCCCCCAUGUUGGACUAAACACUUUCAACUCUACACAAGUGAAAACCCCAAAUCCCUAAAGAUCCUCUAUUUGCCAAACUAAAGGGACAUGAAGUCUGACUCCAUCCUCAACAUGUGGACCUGCCCUGAGGAUGUUGGACACCACUGUUACACCUUCAGCCUUCGUUGAUUUCCUGUCAGACUGGUUGUUUUUCAACUACAUUCCACGGACGGACUGACCUGAACUUUUACCAGGACAGGAACACAAUGUUCAACAGACUCCCUCCUCACCAGUGGGACUGACUACUCAGCCUGGUCGUCUUUGAACUCAAGAAGAACACAAUGUUCAUCAGACUCUACUCAGACUGGUCGUAUUUGAACUCGAGGAACACAAUGUUCCUCACUCUCCUCACCAGUGGGACUGACUACUCAGACUGGUCGUCUUUGAACUCAAGAAGAACACAAUGUUCAUCAGACUCUACUCAGACUGGUCGUAUUUGAACUCGAGGAACACAAUGUUCAUCAGACUCCCUCCUCACCAGUGGACUGACUACUCAGACUGGUUGUGAGGUCACAGGAAAUAGAGUCACGUUCACGUUUUGGAAAUUCAAUGGUCAUUAAAAAAUAAAAUAAAAUCUGCAUUUACACUG